CCUCUCAUUGACUUUUAGAAUUGGAAGUCAUCUCUCCAUGAGUCCCUCACCCACCCCAAUCGGUUCUCUCCCUCAACCUCCAUCGAUCGUCUUUCCUUAUUCGAUCGAUUCCGAUCCCCCAUACCUGACAGAUGGUCGUCUCUACCCAUCGAUUUCUACCACCAUACGAAUGAUAAAUCGCGGCUGAGUGACCGACGAACCACCACUGCACCAGCAGACGACCCAUCAUAACCGAUCGAUAGGAUAAUUUUUUCGCGACUCCUCGUUUCAGUUCUCACUUCAGCCCUGAGCAGGAUAUGUGUUCGACUGUUUGAGGGGGUAUAUCAUGUUACGUGGAUUCAAAUGGUUUUAACAGAAGAAACGCUUGUUAUGUAGUUAAUUGAAAAUAGCAUCUUCAAUUAAUUUUAAAAGAACCCAGCGGUUUGGUUUUGAAAGAGCAGAGUGAGAGGGGAUGGAUUAUUAAAGGCAUAUUUUUGGCAAAAUUUAGUUUUGGUGCAUUAGCUUACAUAGUCAUCUGAAGAUAAAGUUCAAGCUGCUGCUAAGAAGUGGGGAGGCAACGUGUAGUGUCUUUACAGAUUUUAACUCACACGCUUUACUAUCACCUUACUGAAGACAUCUUUGUAUAUUUGAGCAUCCACAACCAACAUUCCAGAAAUUGAUGAAAGAGAACUGCAUGAAGCCCUUUUUUUCUUUCAGGUCUUCUAUGUGGAGCUUUGGUAUCUAGAUGAAUAUUGCUAUUGUGAAUGAGGCUAUCCUCACACGAGGUCUACCCCCAAUGGAAGGUAUGGAGUUCCUGAUGGAUGGAUCUGGUGGCUUGGCUCCUGCCUGGUGCACUUCCACUUGCAUAUGGAGCAUCUCAUGUAGCAUUGGAUCCUAUAGCCAACUUCAAAUUUGGCUAACCCUUUCCUAGAUAACCAUACAUAUUUGUGCUUUAAAUUUGAUUCCUUUUUACAGCUUUAAUUUUUAUAAAAAACAUCCAUAGAAAAUAACUACAGUUUGGAUUCUUGCCAAUGGAUGAUCAUGUUGAAAAUAACUAAUAUUGAGGUUGUAGUGGUCCACAGAUGAUGACACGGAUGCAUCUAUUGACAACAUGGAAGAGGAGGGUAGAUAUCAUGGAUGGGAAUGCGGCUACAUGGUUCUCCAACAUAUGUUUGACUUUGUCAAUUUGUAUCAAAACCAGUUUCCCGAGGAAAUAUGUCACGACACGAGAGAGGCUACGGAUAAUGAAAUAGAUGUUUUGUUGAUGACGUUGAUGCCGAAGUUUUUUAGCGAGUUAGGUAUUUUGCUAGAUUAGCGUAUGUAGUUUAUUUAUACAAUUUAACGUAGUUUGUUAUGCAUUCACAAAUGAUUGUAGUUUGACGGGUUUAUCUCCGAAUUGGAUGUGUACGGGUUUAUUUUCGAUUUGAAUAUGUAUUGUUUUGGGUUGAUUUGAAAAUGUU